AGCGGCGACGGUAGUGGUAGCUCUCAAUACUCUGGCUCAUAACCUGAAGGUCGUAGGUUCAAAUCCUACCCCCGCAACCA
rnacentral:tRNA from 1 species